CACCCAGAAGUGUGCUAUUCUACCAGCUAUUUGGUAUCUCUAGGGCAACAAACUUGACAAUCAAGAUCAGCUACCACAUGCCUCUCUCCUCGAUAAAGAGCAAGCUGCGAAGGGCGAUUACAGCUGGACACAGGUGAGUGAGCCAGAAGGAACUGACCAGCCUUAGGAAGGAACCGUCACAGCUAGGCCAUGCUCCAGAUAUUAAUUUCUGAGUCACUGGCCAGGAGCGAGAUCCCAGUGUAAGAGUCCCCUGUGAUGUAACGUCUGGAAGAAUUCCACAGAGAAAGAAGUCAGAAACUUCUACACAGCUGACAGAUCAAGAUCACCAGGGCUGGGAAGUUUUCUCAGGAGUAAAGUGUGAGGAGCGGAGUUUAAAUCCCAGCAGCCGUGUAAAAGCUGCUGCAGGAGCAUGUCUGCAAUCUCAGGCCUGGGGGAAGUGAGCAAAGACAGCAGCUGCUGAGAACUUACUGGGCAGCCGUGGAGACAAAGUGCCAAGCUCCAGAUUCCGUGGGAGCCCCAGGAAAUAAGGUGAAAGAACAAGAUGUAGAAAGAACUCUCAGCUUCCUCAGCAUCCUGUCUGCCUGCCUUCAAGCUUUCGUGCUUCCCACCAUGAUGACAACGGACUGAACCUCAGAAUCUACAAGUCAGCCCCAAUUAAAUGUUGUUUUAGUCAUGGUGUCUUUUCACAGCAAUGAAAAUUCUAAGAUAGAAGUUACUAACAAGGACUAGGGUAUUGCUGUGAUGGGCCUGACCAUGCUUUUGUGGAUUUUGUAACUUUGGAUUUGGAAAGCAGUGGAAUGCUUUAAGUGGGACUUAAUGGGACAGCCUAGUAGGAAUAGGGAGGACAUUGGUGCUAAGGGUGAACUCUGCGGGUCUGGCUCAAGAGAUUUCAGAGGAGAAUAACUUGAGUAUGUGGCCUGGAGACUGCUUUUGUGAUACUUUGGUGAGGAAUGUAGGUACUUUUUGCCCUCGUUUGAAGUGUCUGCCUGAGGCUCAAGUGAAGACAUUCAAAUUAAUUGCAAUGACAGAAGUCUCAGAAAAGGGGCAAGUCCAAUCUUCAUCAUCAGGAUAUCUUCAAUCAGCAACCAGCAAAAAACAGCAAAACAGCAAAUGCAACAGCAGGAACCAGCAACAGCAGGAAGAGCAGCAGCCACUACCUCCUCUGGUGUUUAUAUACUGCUCUGGUAUUUAUAUUCUCUCUCAAGAAUUCCUAGAAAUCUACUGUCUUCAGCUGGCAAAUCACAUCCCUGCCAGAGCACGAGACAAAUCAUAGUCAGCUGCUGUGGACAAUCUGAAGCAGACCCACAUCCCACCCCUGGAAUUAAAACAAAAACACAUUCAUAGAACAUAACUAGGGGGAAAAAAAACCAAUACAGUGAGCUUUGGGAUGGCCAGCUUUCUUACACGGAGGCUCAGAGCUCCACAGUAAGAGAGGGUGGUGGGAGUGGUGACAGGUAGAAAGACUGUCAUCUUUCAUGACUGCCUGCAUAAGAAGCUAAGCCCCAGGGAUAGAGGCUCAGCCUCUUUAUGAAAGAAUAGCAUGGCUCUAAAAGAACAUGUUUAGAGGGAAAGACUAUUAGAGCCAUAUUUUGGAAAAUAUAAUGAGACACAAUAUUUUUUUGUGGAUACAGUUUUAUAAUAAGGGUGGUAGCAGGAAAUGUCUCCUGACCACCACCUGCUAUCCUGAUGAGGGAACCAGCUGCUAUUUGGAUGCCUGUGGUAAAUACCACCCACUUUGAUGCCAUCACUCUGAUAGCCCAGACUCACUUACAACCCCUUCACUGGGGAAAGAGGGAUUUUUGGUAUUACAGCUGCCAUCAUUGCAGCCAUUAUUGCAGGUAUUACAGGGGCAACAACAGCUACUGUUGCCCAGACCGCCACUAUGAGAGGCUGUCAACGCUGUAGUCUCUAAGUCAGCUGAGGUGCUACAGGCAUAGGAGCUACUAAAUCAACAUCUUUAUGAGGCCAUCCACAUUUUACAACAACAGAUUGACUGCCAGAAGAGCUGGCUCUUGUUAGGGACAUGUGUCUAUGGGCCUGUGACCCAGGUUUCACUCAAUCUACCUAACCCUUUACCAAGUACAUAAUGCCACUGAAGCCCAACAACAGUUGGCUCAAUAGCUUAAAGAUACCUAGUCAGACAAAUUCCUAUUCCUGAAGGCAAGAAAACCACUCACUUGCCCAAUUGGUGGUAGAUAUAACCACGUCCAUAACCAACUUUGGAAGCGGGAACCAGGGCUCCUAUGACAGAAAAGAAGCAGGCUUCUCUCUGCAAUUCAUAAACACCGACAGGAAUAUGUUGCUUUUCCUAAGCCCUUCGCUGUCUUUCCAAGAAGAAUUUUUUUGUCCUUAACCAAAUGUGAAAUGCACAUUUUGAGCACAAAGAAUCAAAGCUCCAACAGCAAACUGACAUGACAUCCUUUACAGGAAGUAAAAUAUUUAAAGACAGAUUCAGAGUCUUCUAUUCCCCUCCCCCCAGGAAGAAACCCUUUAAUAUUCCGAUUAACCUUGAUGUGAAUCACAGCGCUCCUUCUUCCCUGUAGGCAGAUAAUCAUGACUCACCACAGACCCCUGACUGUGGGCUUCAUGUAAUUCUGGCAGCAAAGGCCUUCCUUUGCUGUGUGAGGCCAUUGGCUGUGAAAUCUUUACAAAGUCCAGGGAUGGACUAGGAGUAACCCUGGAGCAAGCUUUGCACUGUGUAUCAAAACAAGACUCCACAUUGGGGCAUCCACACUGAGGCCACCUUGUGAACUAGGCCUCACCUUGGAUAAGAAAGAAAUUGCAUUAUUUUUACUUUCAAAUGUGUUAAAGAAUAAAUUUUACUUAAAUAUAUUCUAUAUUCAAUC
rnacentral:misc_RNA from 1 species